rnacentral:rRNA from 1 species
UACAGAGGUCCCAAGCGUUGUUCGGAAUUACUGGGCGUAAAGGGCUCGUAGGCGGCCAUCUAAGUCAGACGUGAAAUCCCUCGGCUUAACCGGGGAACUGCGUCUGAUACUGGACGGCUCGAGUUUGGGAGAGGGAUGCGGAAUUCCAGGUGUAGCGGUGAAAUGCGUAGAUAUCUGGAGGAACACCGGUGGCGAAGGCGGCAUCCUGGACCAACACUGACGCUGAUGAGCGAAAGCCAGGGGAGCAAACGGG